CUGGAGGUAUCAGAAGUGCGAAUGCUGACAUAAGUAACGAUAAAGCGGGUGAAAAGCCCGCUCGCCGGAAGACCAAGGGUUCCUGUCCAACGUUAAUCGGGGCAGGGUGAGUCGACCCCUAAGGCGAGGCCGAAAGGCGUAGUCGAUGGGAAACGGGUUAAUAUUCCCGUACUUGGUGUUACUGCGAAGGGGGGACGGAGAAGGCUAUGUUGGCCGGGCGACGGUUGUCCCGGUUUAAGCGUGUAGGUGUGUGUUCCAGGUAAAUCCGGUUCACUUUAACACUGAGGCGUGAUGACGAGGCACUACGGUGCUGAAGCAACAAAUGCCCUGCUUCCAGGAAAAGCCUCUAAGCAUCAGGUAACAUCAAAUCGUACCCCAAACCGACACAGGUGGUCAGGUAGAGAAUACCAAGGCGCUUGAGAGAACUCGGGUGAAGGAACUAGGCAAAAUGGUGCCGUAACUUCGGGAGAAGGCACGCUGACACGUAGGUGAAGUGAUUUACUCAUGGAGCUGAAGUCAGUCGAAGAUACCAGCUGGCUGCAACUGUUUAUUAAAAACACAGCACUGUGCAAACACGAAAGUGGACGUAUACGGUGUGACGCCUGCCCGGUGCCGGAAGGUUAAUUGAUGGGGUCAGCGCAAGCGAAGCUCCUGAU
rnacentral:rRNA from 1 species